rnacentral:snoRNA from 1 species
UUGUAAUGCUGUAGACAACAGUUUGACCUGAAACAAUCAAUUUAUGUGGACAAAUUUAAUAACGCAGAAGAA